GAUUAACGCUAGCUACAGGCUUAACACAUGCAAGUCGAGGGGAAACGGCAUCGAAAGCUUGCUUUUGAUGGGCGUCGACCGGCGCACGGGUGAGUAACGCGUAUCCAACCUGCCCAUCACUUGGGAAUAACCUUGCGAAAGUAAGACUAAUGCCCAAUGACAUCCCACGAAGGCAUCCGAAUGGGAUUAAAGAUUUAUCGGUGAUGGAUGGGGAUGCGUCUGAUUAGCUUGUUGGCGGGGUGACGGCCCACCAAGGCAACGAUCAGUAGGGGUUCUGAGAGGAAGGUCCCCCACAUUGGAACUGAGACACGGUCCAAACUCCUACGGGAGGCAGCAGUGAGGAAUAUUGGUCAAUGGGCGAGAGCCUGAACCAGCCAAGUAGCGUGCAGGAUGACGGCCCUAUGGGUUGUAAACUGCUUUUAUAAGGGAAUAAAGUGGGUCACGUGUGACUUUUUGCAUGUACCUUAUGAAUAAGGACCGGCUAAUUCCGUG
rnacentral:rRNA from 1 species